AGUGAACGCUGGCGGUAUGCCUAACACAUGCAAGUCGAACGGCAGCACAGUAAGAGCUUGCUCUUACGGGUGGCGAGUGGCGGACGGGUGAGGAAUACAUCGGAAUCUACUUUUUCGUGGGGGAUAACGUAGGGAAACUUACGCUAAUACCGCAUACGACCUACGGGUGAAAGCAGGGGAUCUUCGGACCUUGCGCGAUUGAAUGAGCCGAUGUCGGAUUAGCUAGUUGGCGGGGUAAAGGCCCACCAAGGCGACGAUCCGUAGCUGGUCUGAGAGGAUGAUCAGCCACACUGGAACUGAGACACGGUCCCGACUCCUACGGGAGGACGCAGUGGGGAAUAUUGGACAAUGGGGGCAAGCCUGAUCCAGCCAUACCGCGUGGGUGAAGAAGGCCUUCGGGUUGUAAAGCCCUUUUGUUGGGAAAGAAAAGCAGCAGGUUAAUACCCCGCUGUUCUGACGGUACCCAAAGAAUAAGCACCGGCUAACUUCGUG
rnacentral:rRNA from 1 species